rnacentral:rRNA from 1 species
ACGAACGCUGGCGGCAUGCCUAACACAUGCAAGUCGAACGAGACCUUCGGGUCUAGUGGCGCACGGGUGCGUAACGCGUGGGAACCUGCCCUUAGGCUCGGAAUAACUCCCCGAAAGGGGUGCUAAUACCGGAUAAUGUCUUCGGACCAAAGAUUUAUCGCCUUUGGAUGGGCCCGCGUUGGAUUAGCUAGUUGGUAGGGUAAAAGCCUACCAAGGCGACGAUCCAUAGCUGGUCUGAGAGGAUGAUCAGCCACACUGGGACUGAGACACGGCCCAGACUCCUACGGGGGGCAGCAGUGGGGAAUAUUGGACAAUGGGCGAAAGCCUGAUCCAGCAAUGCCGCGUGAGUGAUGAAGGCCUUAGGGUUGUAAAGCUCUUUUACCCGGGAUGAUAAUGACAGUACCGGGAGAAUAAGCUCCGGCUAACUCCGUG